UACGUAGGGGGCGAGCGUUGUCCGGAAUCAUUGGGCGUAAAGCGCGUGUAGGCGGUCCGGUAAGUCCGCUGUGAAAGUCGGGGGCUCAACCCUCGGAUGCCGGUGGAUACUGUCGGGCUUGAGUACGGAAGAGGCGAGUGGAAUUCCUGGUGUAGCGGUGAAAUGCGCAGAUAUCAGGAGGAACACCGAUGGCGAAGGCAGCUCGCUGGGACGGUACUGACGCUGAGACGCGAAAGCGUGGGGAGCAAACAGG
rnacentral:rRNA from 1 species